AUUGAACGCUGGCGGCGUGCCUAACACAUGCAAGUCGAGCGGUAACAGGUGUAGCAAUACAUGCUGACGAGCGGCGGACGGGUGAGUAACGCUUGGGAAUCUGCCUAUUAGUGGGGGACAACCCGGGGAAACUCGGGCUAAUACCGCAUACGCUCUACGGAGGAAAGCCGGGGACCGCAAGGCCUGGCGCUAAUAGAUGAGCCCAAGUCGGAUUAGCUAGUUGGUAGGGUAAUGGCCUACCAAGGCGACGAUCCGUAACUGGUCUGAGAGGACGACCAGUCACACCGGAACUGAGACACGGUCCGGACUCCUACGGGAGGCAGCAGUGGGGAAUAUUGGACAAUGGGCGAAAGCCUGAUCCAGCGAUGCCGCGUGUGUGAAGAAGGCCUGCGGGUUGUAAAGCACUUUCAGUAGGGAAGAAAAGACCGAGU
rnacentral:rRNA from 1 species